rnacentral:lncRNA from 1 species
CUUGUACGAUGUUUUUCUUUUCUCGCCUUGACGAACUAACCGUUCAAUAUCGAGAGAAACAGAGAAGGGAUAUAUGGGUGUGUAUGAUAGAAUUGUGAUCCAAGGAAAAUAGAGGAGAGCAACCCUAAAACAUGUCUGAGGAAUAUAUCGAGAAGACGUUCUCGACGUGUCGACAAGGCAUACAAAGGAAGGUUCGAAAUCCCCAGCUGCGUGUCGGCUUUGUGCAGAGAAUAAGCUUUCGCUGGUCUUCGGUGAAACUCGGUGAGGUUCGUCUGUGCAGGUAUAUACUCGGGCUUUGCGGGGAGACCUAGUGCGAGAAAGCAGCAGCAGCAGCAGCGGCAGCAGCAGCAGCGACAGCAGCAGCAGACACAAACACAUCACCUACACGCGUA